AAGUGUCUGUUGGAUAUCCCCAAGCAAUCCCAACGAGGGAGAAUAUAUAUGGCCAAAAAUCUUGGUUAAAAUGUUAGCACCCGCCACGAUCAGAUGAUGCACUUCUGCGCUGGGAUACCCAUGUCACGCAGGUUAACACGCAAAGUGUAACAGCGACCCAAGGCGACGAUAAUGAAUGUUUGAGAUAAUUGUGGUAAAAUUUAACAGAUGCGUCUGACCCAGCAACAGAAAUUCCACAUUGGCCUCAAGCUUAGGUCAUUAUGCCCCUUAAUGCCUACGUUGUUUAAACUGCUUCAAAAUCUAUAAAUAAUAUUCUUUUGUUUGAAUUUUUAAACAAAUAUUUUAGUAAAUAUAAAUAUCUUGAUAAUGUUGACUGGUGUAAAUCUUUUUAUUAAUGCAUCUUUUAAUUUGGUAUUAAUAUAUGAUCCCUUAGUUUAGAGACAGCAGGACUUUGCGUUUGUGACUCAUUGCAUCAUUCUUUGACAUUAUUGUAUACAUACCAAGGAACGUCCGUAUGAGUGCAAUGUGAGCCUUAAUAACGCGAAAGCUAGUUGACUUAGACGUGCAGAUGCAGAAACCUACUAAAAAUUAUAUGUUGAUCUGUUGCAAUCGACUAAGCAUUGGGAUAUUUCGGAUGAGUGAUAUUUUGUUGCUUACCGUCGUCCGGUUCACUUCAAACGAAUUUUUAAAUAUAUAUUUAAAAUAUAUUAUAAAAUGUCAGGUUCAUUGUAGUGCAGAAAGAUACUAAUAUGCCAAGCGCAAGAAUGGGGGGGAAAUUAAUUAUUUAAAAUUUGAUUAUACAAAUUUAAUGAAAUAACUAGAAAUGGUUAAAGCCGAAUUGUAA